rnacentral:rRNA from 1 species
CCUACGGGCGGCAGCAGUGAGGAAUAUUGGUCAAUGGGCUUACGCCUGAACCAGCCAAGUCGCGUGAGGGAAGACUGCCCUAUGGGUUGUAAACCUCUUUUGUCAGGGAGCAACGCCGGCUACGUGUAGCCGGACUGAGAGUACCUGAAGAAAAAGCAUCGGCUAACUCCGUGCCAGCAGCCGCGGUAAUGCGGAGGAUGCGAGCGUUAUCCGGAUUUAUUGGUGUAAAAGGGUGCGUAGGCGGAAUGCCAAGUCAGCGGUAAAAUCGCGGGGCUCAACCUCGCUCCGCCGUUGAAACUGGCGUUCUUGAGUGGGCGAGAAGUAUGCGGAAUGCGUGGUGUAGCGGUGAAAGGCAUAGAUAUCACGCAGAACUUCGAUUGCGAAGGCAGCAUACCGGCGCCCAACUGACGCUGAAGCACGAAAGCGUGGGGAUCGAACAGGAUUAGAUACCCGGGUAGUC